rnacentral:rRNA from 1 species
AUGGAUGAGCUGAGCACCAGCUUGACGGAUCGUCGCUCAUUACACACUGCAGUCGAUGUCGAGACUGAUGUGGUAUGGGAGGUUGACACCGCACUUGGGGGCGAGGCUGCGGGCGUUGUCCUCGUUGAGAUUGUGGAUGCCACGAGCGAUCCCCUUGAGGCAGUUGCAAGCGGCUUGGCGAUCGCUCUUGGAUUGCGCCUGGUUAUGGAGGCUCUGGACGCCGCCGCAGCACUGCCCAGACGGGCUGGGGCCGCCCUGAACGUAGCUCAGGCAGGGUCUCACCAAGCUGUCAACGUGGCCGCAGUCGAUGGCCACGGCAGCGCGCGGGACCGCCGCGAGCAUCAGCACCAAGGCGACGGCCAUGAGCAUUACCUGAGCGCGGGCCAUGAUCACUUCUUGGUCUGUAGCUAA